rnacentral:rRNA from 1 species
UUUAACGGCCGCGGUAUUCUGACCGUGCAAAGGUAGCGCAAUCACUUGUCUUUUAAAUUAAGACCUGUAUGAAUGGCAUAACGAGGGCUUAACUGUCUCCUUUUUCCUAUCAAUGAAAUUGAUCUCCUCGUGCAGAAGCGGGGAUAAGAACAUAAGACGAGAAGACCCUGUGGAUCUUUAGCCACAAGAAUAGGCCAUGUUUCAAUCACUUAACAUAAUAAGUAGACCAAGUGAAAUCUGUUCAAGUGUCUUUGGUUGGGGCGACCCCGGAGCAAAAUAUAACCUCCAUGAGGAAUGAGAACACUUCCUCCAAUCUUAGAGCGACAUCUCAAAGAAGUAGAAACUCUAGCCACAACGAUCCGGUAAAACCGAUCAACGAACCGAGUUACCCCAGGGAUAACAGCGCAAUCCUCUUCCAGAGCCCCUAUCGACAAGAGGGUUUACGACCUCGAUGUUGGAUCAGGACAUCCUAAU